AUUGAACGCUGGCGGCGUGCUUAACACAUGCAAGUCGAACGAAGUGGCGAACGGGUGAGUAACGCGUAAUCAACCUGCCCUUCAGAGGGGGACAACAGUUGGAAACGACUGCUAAUACCGCAUACUGAAGGAGGGGAUUGCGUCUGAUUAGCUAGUUGGAGGGGUAACGGCCCACCAAGGCGAUGGUCAGUAGCCGGUCUGGGAGGGUGAACGGCCCAAUUGGGAAUGGGGAACGGCCCAAACUCCUACGGGAGGCAGCAGGGGGGAAACUUCCGCAAUGGACGAAAGUCUGACGGAGCAAAGGCGCGUGAGUGAUGAAGGGCUUCGGGUUGUAAAGCUCUGUUAAUCGGGACGCGGUACCGGAAUAGAAAGCCACGGCUAACUACGUGCCAGCAGCCGCGGUAAUAC
rnacentral:rRNA from 1 species